CAGCCGCCACGGGAAUACGGAAGGUCCAGGCGUUAUCCGGAUUUAUUGGGUUUAAAGGGAGUGUAGGCGGUCUGUUAAGCGUGUUGUGAAAUUUAGGUGCUCAACAUCUAACUUGCAGCGCGAACUGGCGGACUUGAGUGCACGCAACGUAUGCGGAAUUCAUGGUGUAGCGGUGAAAUGCUUAGAUAUCAUGACGAACUCCGAUUGCGAAGGCAGCGUACGGGAGUGUUACUGACGCUUAAGCUCGAAGGUGCGGGUAUCGAACAGGAUUAGAUACCCCUGUAGUCCCUGUCUCUUAUAC
rnacentral:rRNA from 1 species